GAUGAACGCUGGCGGCGUGCCUAAUACAUGCAAGUCGAGCGAACGGACGAGAAGCUUGCUUCUCUGAUGUUAGCGGCGGACGGGUGAGUAACACGUGGAUAACCUACCUAUAAGACUGGGAUAACUUCGGGAAACCGGAGCUAAUACCGGCUAAUAUUUUGAACCGCAUGGUUCAAAAGUGAAAGACGGUCUUGCUGUCACUUAUAGAUGGAUCCGCGCUGCAUUAGCUAGUUGGUAAGGUAACGGCUUACCAAGGCAACGAUGCAUAGCCGACCUGAGAGGGUGAUCGGCCACACUGGAACUGAGACACGGUCCAGACUCCUACGGGAGGCAGCAGUAGGGAAUCUUCCGCAAUGGGCGAAAGCCUGACGGAGCAACGCCGCGUGAGUGAUGAAGGUCUUCGGGUCGUAAAACUCUGUUAUUAGGGAAGAACAUAUGUGUAAGUAACUGUGCACAUCUUGACGGUACCUAAUCAGAAAGCCACGGCUAACUACGUG
rnacentral:rRNA from 1 species